UGGAUGCUUGAUGUGUUGUAGAUGGGGUUUAUGAUGGUUUGAGGCCCCUAGGAACAUGUAUGCUUGUGUAUGUGUGUUGUAGAAUAGGUUUGAUGCAUGUUUGGAAGGUUUGGAGGCGAAAUGUGCAAGGGGAGCCAAGUUUCUGCCCUUUGGCAGAAACCAGGUUCGGCAGCCGAAGGAUUUUCGGCCGCCGAACAUGGCUGGGG
rnacentral:lncRNA from 1 species